rnacentral:lncRNA from 1 species
GGUAACUUUAGCCCUAACACAGCCCGGGAUGACUUCACGUUUCAUUCCAGAUACCUCUCCUUCAAGGAAAACGUAAUUAACGCCAAUUAAAAGCAUCCGGCAGAAUCGAGGAGUGAGGGCUGCAGGGAUGGGGAGAGCAGAACGCCGACACAGAGCACUGGGGGCGUAACAGCAGUGCUCAGCCUGACUGCCACAUCACCUCCAUUGCAUCGCAUCACCUCCAUCGCAUCACCUCCACAUCACAUCACCUCCAUUGCAUCACCUCCAUUGCAUCACCUCCAUUGCAUCACCUCCACCACAUCACAUCACCUCCAUCGCAUCACCUGUGCCCCAGUGCUGCACCCCACCCGGGGGGGGUUAACCCUCCGCCUCCGAUGCCUUCCACACCUGAGAGCUGCUGAGGAUCUCCUUAUGGGGAGGAAGGCUGAAAGUGAAACGGGGCCGGAAAGCCUGGAGUGGAGGGGAAAGGCACUGCAGGCAGAGCAGGAAGGUUAGUGAGGAGUCACAGAGAAGGCGUUUACAGACAGGAAGGAGAAGCAGAGAAGCAAGCAGCACAGCUGAGGUUCG